CACAGUGGAACGAAGACUAAGUGCGCCACAUCGUGUGGCAACGCCUUCGUGACCAACAUCCUGUUGG
rnacentral:sRNA from 1 species